GUGGCUGCGAAGCAGGGCUGGGUGGGCCAACCCCGGGAGGAGGCGGGGCCAACCCUUCGCCUUGGAGGUAGGGAGUAGCCAGGGAGACCCUGAGUGGGCCUGACGCGGGAAGGCGGGACCUGAGGACGGAGUUAAAACCCCGACGGGAAGCCGGGAGUGAGAGGUGCCAGGCCACGCUAAAGUGCUCCUUCAUAGCGUUGUAACAUAUACCACAAUGGAGAAGAGAAUGUUUGAGGGAAAGGAGGAAAUGAGAAAAGAAGAAACCACAAACUUACGUGCAGAAGAUUGAAAGAGACUGAAUCAGCCCAUCAAAUUAUGAGGAACUGAGGAGACCUCAUGGAAUCAUUCGCACUGGGGGGUCUCCUCAUGGGCUCCUUUCUGUGAUGUUUAAGCCAAGCUUUGUGGUUGUCAGGUACAUAGAGCCAUCAUGGAUAAAACCACCCAUAUUGUUGCUGGUCUCCAAGUUUCCACCCCCAUUUUCUUAGAUCCAGCCUAACAGAAGAAAGCAGAGAGAUUUAAAGAAAAAAAAAUCAUAGCUUGCUAUUCCACUGUUAAAAACUUUCAGUGGCUUCUCAUCUAAUUCAGAAUUAAAUCAAGACCCUUGCAAUGGUCAGUGACUAAAAAACUCUACAGCAAUGGACUCCUUAUUAGUUCUCUGACUACAUCCGCAGUGACCGCCCCCAUCCAUGAGAGACAUCCCGAGACACCCAGUGGGUGUCUAAGGCCACAGAUCGCAAUGUGUUUUUUAUUAUACCUAUGUACUUACCACUGAUUAUAAUUUAAACAGCACAGUUUACUUUUCUUUAG